rnacentral:tRNA from 1 species
GGGAAUGUGGCUUAGUGGUAGAGUGCUUGCCUAGCAUGCAUGAAGUCCUGGGUUCAAUUCCUUCAAUUCCU